UGCCUUCGGGAACUCAGACACAGGUGCUGCAUGGCUGUCGUCAGCUCGUGUCGUGAGAUGUUGGGUUAAGUCCCGUAACGAGAGCAACCCUUGUCCUUAGUUACCGGCACCUCGGGUGGGCACUCUAAGGAGACUGCCGGUGACAAACCGGAGGAAGGUGGGGAUGACGUCCAGUCAUCAUGGCCCUUACGGCCAGGGCUACACACGUGCUACAAUGGUCGGUACAAAGGGUUGCCAAGCCGCGAGGUGGAGCUAAUCCCAUAAAACCGAUCGUAGUCCGGAUCGCAGUCUGCAACUCGACUGCGUGAAGUCGGAAUCGCUAGUAAUCGUGAAUCAGAAUGUCACGGUGAAUACGUUCCCGGGCCUUGUACACACCGCCCGUCACACCAUGGGAGUGGGUUGCUC
rnacentral:rRNA from 1 species